rnacentral:sRNA from 1 species
ACGUGCCGAUUUGAUCGGGAUACUCAUCAAUUUAAUUACAGAAACCGAGAACGCUUCUUUUGUCAAUGGCGGGCCAUAUAAACUCGUAAGAGCUAAGCUGAAAAGCCGGUGGAUUACAAAGACGGAGAACACUCAAAUCCUAUAUACUCGGAGUUUCAUCACAUCAUCGGGCGUCCCCU